AUAAUUUGUGGUGGUCUUGAUUAAUCUCGGUCCAAUUCCAGUUUUCCAUAAAAGAUCCAAAAGUCCUAAUCUACGAAGCACACUUCAUAAUCACGCAUGAGUUGUUUAAGGGCACCUGAGCAAAGUUGUGUCACUACUGAUGUUUACACAACACGGAUUUCCAAGUGUGAGGAUGAGCGCUUGUGUUGUGCCAACAAACACACACAAACACACACAAACACACACACACACGCCUUAAAUUGACUCGAGGAAAAUCUUUGUAGUGCCAAUACUGGCAAAAACAAACAAAAAGCGAUUACGGCAGGCCAGUAUCAGCCUGUUCAAACACACGGCUUGCAAACCAACCGUGUUACGCUCACCUAUAAUCUCCUAAACACACAUGGGCUAAGUGUCAGUGUUAACACUACUGAAGGGCAAUGCCUUCCCAUAUUUUAGCCUACAGGAUGUUCAUCGAGCGACAGUCAUGAGAGAUAUAUCUGAAAGUAAACAGGUCAUAACGUCUGAUCGUAACUCAUCUGAGCUGUGAAUAACAAGUCUAACAAAUCAUCGUAAAGUCAUUUCUAACCAAUAAGCUCUACCUUUGCGAACAAAGUAUCUACGGAUGAUAAACUGAUGAUUGUCAAUAGUCAUUAGGCUGAUUGUGCUUAUCAAUGAAAUUAUUAAAAACUACACAUAAAUAGUGACACUACAAAAUAAAUUCACCUAAAUGCAUAUGGGGGUGGUGCUUUAAAUUGUAUUAAACAUGUAAAUGUACAUUUUUUUAUCCCAAGGGAAGCUCUUUUUUACUUGUAGUGCCAACUGUCUACCAUAAAGUACAGCAUGUUAUCAGCUGAUCACUGAAAUAUAUCAAACUUUAUUUAUUUUAAAUAACCUAUUUAUUAUUAAAAAAAUUACAUAUUUUUGUCAACUUUAUUAACAAUUGUAACAUAUCUCUAGUGCAUACAUGAGCAGUGGGUUCGAAUAUAUACUACAGAGGGGUUGUCGUACCAAGACACAAUUUUAUGAUUUUGUUUUGUCCCAAUUAGUGUUGUCAACAGUACUUGGUCUUUGGUACCAACAUUUACCGUAUAUACCCGAAUAUUCACCUUAUUUUUCACGACAACAAGGGCGGCGCCAUUUCGCUCAUUUUGUCAACGUUCUUCCGGCCGCAUAGACGAUGAGCAGCUGAGGCAGUGACUGAAGGCGACGCGUUAAGCUUAAAAAGCUCACUCGAGCGCCUUUAUGUUUCUUUCUUACAAAUUUUAAGCCAACUGAGGAACACCCUUAUCCCAAGUAAUGGUUCGACUACGAUGUUCCGGUAACUUUAAACCACGCCGGGUGUUGAAAAGGUGGCCAGUUUCAGAUGCAUUGAUGUUUAGUGAUGCGGUGGACAACUGUGAGGAUGAUACAAUCAACAUCUUCCUAAACUGUGAUGCAGAAACACAAUGGGAGGAUCCAUCCGUCUCUGACCACAACUACACUUUAAAAUCACAAAUCAACCUGAAGCAACCUACAUCUGAUAUGGGAAACAAUGGUGCAGUUUCCCUGACAGGGCUUAUGCUGGUCCCAGGCUAAAAUGCAUAUUUGAGCUACAAUCAUUUAAAAACACCUUUUACUGACAUACCUCAACAUAUAUGAGUGCCAUUGUUUUGUCACAAGAUACGCACCAGUCUUGUUUUUUUGUAGGGUUUGUUUGUAAAAACUAAAAUGUCCUAAUAUAAUUAAAUCCUAUAAACCCUGUCCGAGAAACUGCUUUAAUGUGUUGAGCUUGCACAAAUGUACAUAUCUCUGCUGAGAAACAACCAUCUUUGGUUCAGCUUUACACAGGGUUGAUAUUGCAUCCAUUACACAGUCGCCAAGCACUUUACCAGUACAUACACCAACAGCUUCCAGAUAAACACUUGGGAUCAGCUCCUGAUGACUCCGAUAAAGCUGUGUCUUAAUUUAUUGCAGGGUGGUCUUGCUUUACAUGUUGUAAAGUUACAUUAAACCUUCAUAUGUGAUCAGAUGUCAUGCAGUGAUAUUAAACAUUUACAGUGUGAUCAGAUGUUGUGCAUUUAUAUUAAACCUUUACAAUGUGA